rnacentral:tRNA from 1 species
CUAAAGAUUAAUUCACCUAAUCCUUUAUAACAAAUCCUAUAACUCUCAUCCCUUAAAAUAUCAACAAUCCUCCUCACCUUCUA